CAGCCGCCACGGGAAUACGAAGGGGGCUAGCGUUACUCGGAAUUACUGGGCGUAAAGGGCGCGUAGGCGGCACGAUUAGUCAGGCGUGAAAUUCCUGGGCUCAACCUGGGGACUGCGCUUGAUACGGUCGAGCUAGAGGAUGGAAGAGGGUUGUGGAAUUCCCAGUGUAGAGGUGAAAUUCGUAGAUAUUGGGAAGAACACCGGUGGCGAAGGCGGCAACCUGGUCCAUUACUGACGCUGAGGCGCGACAGCGUGGGGAACAAACAGGAUUAGAUACCCCAGUAGUCCCUGUCUCUUAUAC
rnacentral:rRNA from 1 species